rnacentral:lncRNA from 1 species
CUGGACCAGAUAAACUGGCCAGAGCAGAGUGGUGCUCCGGUGACCUGCCCUGCUGGGCCCUCUGAAGCAGGAGGCACGGAGGGUAGUGUGGAGCAGGACUUCUACCUGCUGCCUCCACAGCCAGGGCCAAAGGCUCGGAUAGAGUGGCCUCCAGAAGGCUCCCUGGGCUCCGGAAGCCAGCAACGGAAGGGCCGACAGGCCCGGGCAGUCGCCAGGGAGGGCGCCUGGCCCUGCUCACUUUGCUGGGCGCCAAGUGCCCCCGGGUUCGGCUCCAGCGGACCCAGAAAGUCGCUUGCCUCCAAACCCAGGCAUCCUCCUGACUCAGAACAUCUCCCCCAGUGUAGACCUUCCACAAACCGCGUGCAGCCCGGUCUCUCCACUGCCUCACCUGAAGGUCAAGCCCCAGAGGGCCAGCACUACGCCCAGCAGGGCUUUUGGAAGGAACCGCGAUGCCCCAGGGGAGCCCUGCGGGUGGGGUCCUGGGAGGGGCCCUCCUCCCAGGGGAGUUUCCUGGCCCCGAGGUGGGGCUCCCCGAAGCCCUGCCUCCCACACCCCGCCACCCCCCGCCCCACCCCAAGCAGAGUUUCCAGUCACUGGAGGCUGAGCAAAGCUGCGCACUCGGGCACCGUCUUCCAGCGCCCAGGGCCGAGGGGGAGGCCAGGCGGAUGGGCGUCAGGGCUCCGCUGGGCACUCGUGGCCGCCGCCGUGGUAGCGGGCAUCCUCCUUGCUUCCUGCCUGCUCUGCACCGUCCGCUGCUGCCGCCGUGGGCGCCGCAGGAAGAGGCCCAGAGACAAGCAGGCUGUGGUCCCGGGCACCACCGAGCUCACCACCACCACCCACCUGGUGCAGCCGGAGUUGGGUAACGUGGCAUCUGGACCUGGAGGGGCCCAGCAGUGGGGGCGCCUGCAGCUGUCCCUGGAGUAUGACUCUGGAAGCCAGGAGAUCCGGGUGGGCCUCAAGCAGGCCGCGGACCUGAGGCCCGGGGCCCCGGGCGGCACGGCGCACCCCUACGCCCGCCUGAGCCUGUCCCCGGACGCUGGGCGCGUGCACGAGACGAAGGUGCAUCGUGGCACGCUGUGCCCCGCGUUCGAGGAGACCUGCUCCUUCCACGUGCCGCCUGUGGAGCUGCCCAGGACCACCCUGCGUGUGCUGCUCCUGGACCACAGGCGCCUCUCCCAGCACCGGCCGCUGGGCGCGCUCAGCCUGCCGCUGGGCUCCGUGGACCUGCAGCACGUGCUGGAGCUCUGGCGCCCACUGGGCCCGCCCGCUGCGGCUGAGCCUGAGCAGACGGAGGAGCUCUGCUUCUCGCUCCACUACGUGCCCGGCUCCGGCCGGCUGACUGUGGUCGUGCUGGAGGCCCGAGGCCUGAGCCCUGUGCUGGCAGACCCCUACGUGAAGAUCCAGCUCAUGCUGAACCAGAGGAAGUGGAAAAGGAGAAAGACGUCGGCCAGGAAGGGCACGGCCACCCCUUACUUCAACGAGGCCUUCACCUUCCUCGUGCCCUUCAGCCAGAUCCAGAGCGUGGAUCUGGUGCUGGCCGUCUGGGCCCAGGGCCCACAGCUGCGGGCCGAGCCUGUCGGCAAGGUGCUGCUGGGCGCCCGGGCCUCUGGGCAGCCUCUCCAGCACUGGGCGGACAUGCUGGCCCAGGCCCGGCGGCCCGUCGCCCAGUGGCACCGCCUGCAGCCAGCCAGGGAGGUGGACCAGGCCCUGGCCUUGCAGUCCCGCCUGCGUCUGCCCUUGCCUGGCUUCUGAGGGCAGCCCUGGGCCUGGGCCUCCCCGUGCGCAUUGCCCCAGGGCCCGCGGCAAUAAACGCCUCCCCUCCACCA